rnacentral:rRNA from 1 species
UAGUAGCGAAGUUCCUGAUGUCACACUGCCAAGAAAAGCUUCUAGUGAGAAAGUAACUGCCCGUACCGCAAACCGACACAGGUAGUUGAGGAGAGAAUCCUAAGGUGUGCGAGAGAACUCUCGUUAAGGAACUCGGCAAAAUGACCCCGUAACUUCGGGAGAAGGGGUGCUGACCGCAAGGUCAGCCGCAGUGAAUAGGCCCAAGCGACUGUUUAUCAAAAACACAGGUCUCUGCAAAAUCGAAAGAUGACGUAUAGGGGCUGACGCCUGCCCGGUGCUGGAAGGUUAAGAGGAGAGGUUAGCGCAAGCGAAGCUUUGAAUUGAAGCCCCAGUAAACGGCGGCCGUAACAAUAACGGUCCUAAGGUAGCGAAAUUCCUUGUCGGGUAAGUUCCGACCCGCACGAAAGGCGUAACGAUUUGGGCACUGUCUCAACGAGAGACUCGGUGAAAUUAUAGUACCAGUGAAGAUGCUGGUUACCCGCGACAGGACGGAAAGACCCCAUGGAGCUUUACUGCAGUUUGAUAUUGCGUGUUUGUAUCACAUGUACAGGAUAGGUAGGAGCCGAAGAUACCGGGACGCCAGUCUCGGAGGAGGCAACGGUGGGAUACUACCCUUGUGAUAUGACCACUCUAACCCGCUGCUCUUAGCGAGCAGGGAGACAGUGUCAGACGGGCAGUUUGACUGGGGCGGUCGCCUCCAAAAAUGUAACGGAGGCGCCCAAAGGUUCCCUCAGAAUGGUUGGAAAUCAUUCGUAGAGUGUAAAGGCAGAAGGGAGCUUGACUGCGAGACCUACAAGUCGAGCAGGGACGAAAGUCGGGCUUAGUGAUCCGGUGGUUCCGCAUGGAAGGGCCAUCGCUCAACGGAUAAAAGCUACCCUGGGGAUAACAGGCUUAUCUCCCCCAAGAGUUCACAUCGACGGGGAGGUUUGGCACCUCGAUGUCGGCUCAUCGCAUCCUGGGGCUGUAGUCGGUCCCAAGGGUUGGGCUGUUCGCCCAUUAAAGCGGUACGCGAGCCGGGUUCAGAACGUCGUGAGACAGUUCGGUCCCUAUCCGUCGCGGGCGUUGGAAAUUUGAGAGGAGCUGUCCUUAGUACGAGAGGACCGGGAUGGACACACCGCUGGUGUACCAGUUGUUCUGCCAAGAGCAUCGCUGGGUAGCUAUGUGUGGACGGGAUAAACGCUGAAAGCAUCUAAGCGUGAAGCCCCCCUCAAGAUGAGAUUUCCCAUCACUUUAAGUGAGUAAGACCCCUGAGAGAUGACCAGGUAGAUAGGUUGGGAGUGGAAGUACAGCGAUGUAUGGAGCGGACCAAUACUAAUCGGUCGAGGACUUAACCUA